rnacentral:rRNA from 1 species
GACGAACCGUGCGAACGUUGUUCGGAAUCACUGGGCUUAAAGGGCGCGUAGGCGGCCGGGUUGGUCGUGGGUGAAAUCCCCCAGCUUAACUGGGGAACUGCCUACGAUACUGCCUGGCUCGAGGGAGGAAGGGGCGGUCGGAACUGUCGGUGGAGCGGUGAAAUGCGUUGAUAUCGACAGGAACGCCGGUGGCGAAGGCGGGUCUCUGGGCAACAACUGACGCUGAGGAGCGAAAGCGUGGGGAGCGAACAGG